GCAAGUAACUGUUAUCUUAGUACUAAUUAAUUCGGAUUAAAGUGACUUUUUUACUUAAUUUGUACCAGGUGAAGUUAAAACCAGCUCGUUUGAGGAGUUCCAGGUACAACAUAUUUGCAGACAUUUUUUUUAUCAUCUUAAAUGGAAAAUGCAUAAAUACUGUUAUGAGAAUGUUAUUUCAGCAAAUGUUGAACACCUGAAUCACAUAAUUAGGCCAUUACGAGAUAAUUCAGCCAUUUAAUUCAGGUGUGUUGGACUUAGGACAUAUUGAAAAGUUCCUCUCCUGUCUUCAGUUUAGGUGGACAGCCAUACAUUGGUGUGAUAAAGCAGGAAAAAUCGAGGAAAUCGUCUUUUAAGAAAGUCUUCAUAUUUGGCAUUUGCCCACUGGAUUCUGGAGGAAACAUAUCGUCCAAUACCUCGUCUGACUUUAGAAGAAGUAAAAUGUUUGCACAAAGGUAACCUGUGGCGUAAAAAA